rnacentral:lncRNA from 1 species
CUGUUCCCCACCCGGUCGCCUGUCCUCUUCAACCCUCCUCGGAGCCACUGGCUCUAGUCGGGAGCCGCGUCCGCUUUUAUCCAGAAAUGUGCGUCCGAACUGUUGUCCUACGCGGGACAAAGCGUGCAGAAAUCUGGUUCCGGUACCUGCUAACCCUGAGGCCAUUGUUUUCGCAAUGCCAAGCUCCGAGUGGACGUGCCAACUUCCUCUAAUUAGUCUACGCUGUGGGUUAUUGUGUAACAGAAGCUAAGUUGACCUUAUCUCUUAGCUUUUGGACUCUAUCCUGAAAGCCUUAGAGAUGUAUACAUGCAUAGUUUAGCGGUUUUGUUCAUGUCUGGAUAUGGGAGACCAACCCUUGGAUGUAAUGAACUACGCAAAAUUAAUUUUUUUUCGUUAUCUUAUCUCGCCGUGUAGACCAGAUUGGCUUUGUAUAGACCAGAUUGGGUUCAAAUUGACCAUCCUGCCUCAGCCUAUUGCUGCUGAGAUUACCGACCUGCGUCCCCAUUUCCAACUCUAUUUGCUAAUGCAUACAGUGCAGCUCAGGAUGCUCAAGAAAAUGUUUUUAUUGUCGUUGUUUCAUUUGUUCAUUUUGCCUGUCGCAUGUCGGAUUUAUUCCGAAGUUGAAACAGCAUUUUUAUAACACUUUCAUCAAAUGAUUAUACAUGCUCGUAAUAAUCUUACGCCAUAAUCUUAGGUGGAGGCAAUGAGAGGCAAGCGCUGGGGAGACUGAAGAAGUUUACUGCCUUCCCAUGUUGAUGUUUUUUUUCCCAUUCAUUCAUUAAUUCAUUUUACAUCUCGACCCCCCUCUCCUCCCAGUCUCCCUCCUAGGAAGAAAUAAACCAGCUGUAAUUUUCUGAAUCAUAAUUUUUUUUCUUGUUUGCAACACACUUAAAGAGGGUUAACCCUAAAGUUGAGCUCAUUAUUUUCUUAUUAGGUUUCUAUGUUAAAAAUGGAGGUUAUACAUGUAUGAAACUUGUCAAAAUAAAACGUUUGCUGUUUAGGGUUUUGACUGAGUGGUUGGGUGUUUUCCUAGCAUGCACAACAUCCUGGGUUCCAUCCCAACACCACAAAUUACUUAAUGAAUGAGUGAAUGAAAUAAUCAAAUAGGUAGGCUUUGCCUAGAUAAGUGUAGCAAUAAAUACUUUCAUGUUCUUUUG